AUUCCCGUUGAUCCUGCGGGAGGUUGCUGCUAUUAGGGUUCGAUUUAGCCAUGUAAGUCUUCUUGCAAAAGAGGCAAACUGCUCAGUAACACGUCGAUAACCUACCCUUAGGUCUGGGAUAACCUUGGGAAACUGAGGCUAAGACCGGAUAAAGGUUUAAUUCUGGAACGAAUUUUCCUUUAAAAGCAAUGCCUAAGGAUGGGUCGGCGGCCGAUUAGGUAGUUGGUGGUGUAAUGGACCACCAAGCCAAAGAUCGGUAGGGGUCUUGAAAGAGAUAGCCCCGAGAAGGGCACUGAGACACUGGCCCUAGCCCCACGGGGUGCAGCAGGCGCGAAACCUUUACAAUGCACGCAAGUGUGAUAAGGGAACCCUAAGUGCUUUGUUUUUACAAGGCUUUUUUUAAGAGUAAAUAUCUUAAAGAAUAAGUGGUGGGCAAGACUGGUGCCAGCCGCCGCGGUAACACCAGCUCCACGAGUGGCAACCGAAUUUAUUGGGUCUAAAGCGUCCGUAGCCGGUUCUGUAAGUCUUUUGUUAAAUCAUUAAGCUCAACUUAAUGGGUGCUUGAGAUACUGUAGGACUAGGAACUGGGAGGAGUCAGAAGUAUUUCUAGGGGAGCGGUAAAAUGCUAUAAUCCUAGAAGGACUACCUGUGGCGAAAGCGUCUGACUAGAACAGAUUCGACGGUGAGGGACGAAAGCUAAGGGAGCAAUCCGGAUUAGAUACCCGAGUAGUCUUAGCCAUAAACGCUGCGAGCUAGGUGUUACAUAUUCUCUGUGAAUGUGUAGUAUCGUAGUGAAGACGUUAAGCUCGCCACCUGGGGAGUAUGGUCGCAAGACUGAAACUUAAAGGAAUUGGCGGGGGAGCACUAC
rnacentral:rRNA from 1 species